UCCUAGGUCUCCAGCAGAAGCCUGACAGAGGGGGAGCAAACUCCUUGUGUAUCAUCUAUGGAAUGAGGCCUUUGCCUGCCAUCCUGACUGGAGCAACCUGCUAGUGCAUUCUGUGGGACUGGGGAGCAGCAGGAGCAGCCUGACAGAGGAGAGGAAACUGUGAUGGCUUUCAUUUGGUGACUUGUGAGAAGAGGCUGUUAUUUUAGCACAGGGAUGCAAGAGGAAUUCAGAAGGAAUGCCUGUUACAGCAAUGUUGUAGUUGUCAAGGAAGGAAGUGUAAUUAUUCCCAUUUUAAAGGACAAUGACUUGUGCAGGACAUCAGAAACAGAAGCCUGUUACUGAAUCCAUGUGCUCACUGCUGGUAUGGUUUUAUUCUGAGACAUAAACAUUUCAAGUAAAAUUUAAUAAAUAUAAAAUAGCUAAAGUUA